CAUGCUUAACACAUGCAAGUCGAACGAGAAGUACCUUCGGGUGCAAGUAAAGUGGCGGACGGGUGAGUAACGCGUGGGAAUCUGCCUAGUAGGUGGGGAUAACAAUCGGAAACGGUUGCUAAUACCGCAUGUACCCUACGGGGAAAGGCUUCGGCCGCUAUUAGAUGAGCCCGCGUAAGAUUAGCUUGUUGGUGGGGUAAAGGCCUACCAAGGCGACGAUCUUUAGCUGGUCUGAGAGGACGAUCAGCCACACUGGGACUGAGACACGGCCCAGACUCC
rnacentral:rRNA from 1 species